rnacentral:rRNA from 1 species
UGCCUUAGUAACGGCGAGUGAAGCGGCAAUAGCUCAAAUUUGAAAGCUGGCCCCUUUGGGGUCCGCGUUGUAAUUUGUAGAGGAUGAUUCGGCGAGGGCUCCCGUCUAAGUCCCCUGGAACGGGGCGUCAUAGAGGGUGAGAAUCCCGUAUGUGAUGGGUUGCCUUAGCCAUGUGAAUCUCCUUCGACGAGUCGAGUUGUUUGGGAAUGCAGCUCUAAAUGGGAGGUAAAUUUCUUCUAAAGCUAAAUACCGGCCAGAGACCGAUAGCGCACAAGUAGAGUGAUCGAAAGAUGAAAAGCACUUUGGAAAGAGAGUUAAAAAGUACGUGAAAUUGUUGAAAGGGAAGCGCUUGCAGCCAGACUUGUCCGCAGUUGCUCAGCCGGUCUCCUGACCGGCGUACUCUUCUGCGGCCAGGCCAGCAUCAGUUCGGGCGGUCGGAUAAAGACCCCAGGAAUGUAGCUCCUCUCGGGGAGUGUUAUAGCCUGGGGUGGAAUGCGGCCAGCCUGGACUGAGGAUCUCGCUUCGGCUAGGAUGCUGGCGUAAUGGCUGUAAGCGGCCCGUCUUGAAACACGGACCAAGGAGUCUAACAUCUAUGCGAGUGUUUGGGUGUCAAACCCAUACGCGUAAUGAAAGUGAACGGAGGUGGGAACCCUCACGGGUGCACCAUCGACCGAUCCUGAUGUCUUCGGAUGGAUUUGAGUAAGAGCAUAGCUGUUGGGACCCGAAAGAUGGUGAACUAUGCCUGAAUAGGGUGAAGCCAGAGGAAACUCUGGUGGAGGCUCGCAGCGGUUCUGACGUGCAAAUCGAUCGUCAAAUUUGGGUAUAGGGGCGAAAGACUAAUCGAACCAUCUAG